AUCAAUUUGGUAUAAAACCCAGCGAUGCGGCUCUCGAAUUGUAUUCCACAUCUACAACUCAACAAUAUGAAGGCUGUCUUGAUCCUAGCUUUGCUCGUGGUGUUCGCUGCAGCGAAGCCGCAGUCUCCUCAAUCUUAUGGCGCGGCUGGAGGGGCAGGUGAAAAUUUGCGUGCGGGUGCCAUAUCCUCGGUCUCGGGUCGGACUUCCUCGGCCGUCGCAGGGUCCUCCGCAUCCAGAGGCGCCGUCAGCGCAGUCUCAUCCAGCCGUGUUAUUCGCGAACUCAAAAAAAUAUGAUUGAGUUGAUAUCUUCUGCGUGAUAUAAAAUAAAUUUGGUUGAAUUGA